AUUGAACGCUGGCGGAAUGCUUUACACAUGCAAGUCGAACGGCAGCACGGGGCAACUUGGUGGCGAGUGGCGAACGGGUGAGUAAUACAUCGGAACGUGCCCAAUCGUGGGGGAUAACGUAGCGAAAGUUACGCUAAUACCGCAUACGAUCUACGGAUGAAAGCGGGGGAUCGCAAGACCUCGCGCGAGUGGAGCGGCCGAUGUCAGAUUAGGUAGUUGGUGGGGUAAAGGCUCACCAAGCCAACGAUCUGUAGCUGGUCUGAGAGGACGACCAGCCACACUGGAACUGAGACACGGUCCAGACUCCUACGGGAGGCAGCAGUGGGGAAUUUUGGACAAUGGGCGCAAGCCUGAUCCAGCCAUUCCGCGUGCAGGAUGAAGGCC
rnacentral:rRNA from 1 species